CGCACACACAUGCAACUUGCAUGUAGAGGAAACAGUACUUAUCCUUGAUCUAUGAAGCUUCAUGUGUGUAACGGUCCCAUGAUUACCAGUUUGCGAAAGGACAUGUCCAGCAUAUACAGUUGAACCAUUAUCCAUGAUACCAAGGUGGAGAUCAUAGAGGAAGAAGUCAAGAGAGCGAAGCAAUUCAUAGUUCUACUUAAGUGUAAGAUAUACGGGUUACCGGCGGGUACCGAAACUUGCGAUACAUUCAGCUGGUUACAUGAGUCCGAAGAUCUGGAAGUAGAACAGAUUGUUGAUGAAGAAGAUUUUUAUCAAAUAGAAACAUCUUUAAGCAAUAAUACAUCAAGUCUGGAAUUGCUGUCUCCAAGUGAUGGUGAAAAUACCUAUACUUGUAUUGCAGAAUGUGGAAUUAAUACGUACAGGAUUGAUUGCUGGUUGGGAGAACUUCAAUACAAGGAAAGAAGCAAUGUUUGUUCUAAAAGAUAUAUCACGGAUACUGCCAUAAUUGAUACACCAGUACCAAGGGCAGGUAAACCGGGCGGAGGAAAAAGACACAAAGAGGUGAAGAUAGCUGCGUCAGUCGUGUGUAUGGUAUUAGUGGGAAUGAUCAUAAUCGUGAUCAUAAAAUGUAGAAUCAAACGACUUGAAGCCUUAAAACACGUCCGUGUUACGAUUGAAAACGCAAAUCAGCGUCUUUUGUAUCCCUCGAACGAGCCUCAAUGCCAACGAUUCAACAUACGAAGGAAUUUCCCGCAUAACAGCGACAACAGUCCGAUAUAUAGACCACCUAGUCACCCAAUAACAGCUGCUAGACCACACAGAACCCUUCAAAGAUUGGCACCGCCCGUUUCCCAAAUUCCACCAUCUAUAACUUCGAGGCCAUUCCCAAAACGCCUAGUUCUCCAAGAGAUGAACGACGGUUCACAAUUAGUAUUUAUUCCAGGUUCUGCAUUGCCUUCUUACGAAGAUUCACAAAAUAACAAUGUACGUUCUUCCAUGAGAACAUUUCAAAAUGAAUCUCCGUUUUUACCGCCUUGUGUUCGGGACCGAUCUCUACCGCAUCUGGGUGAAAGUUUCUCGAGAAUCCCGGUGGUCGGCGGACUAGUGGUACCAGAAAGUACAGGAGAGCUAAGUUCUCCACCAAGUUAUACUAGCAUGGUUCAGCUAUCAUCCGAAGAAGCUGAUGGAAAAACAUCUGAAAACAGUGCAGGUAAUUCAUCUGAAGUCACGUCCUCAGAAUUAUCGUCAGUUGACGGACUAGAAAUAAUUUGUGAUACUAGUGAAUCAAAUAAUUUAUUGAGCCCCGUGACUAGCGACAGUCAGAGCGUCCCGUGUUCUUCAAACUUCGAACCUCCCAGAUAUCCUAUUCACUCGAUUGCACCUCCACCAGUUUAUGAAGAAAGAACAAUGCAUAUCGAUGGAAAGGUUACUAGUAGACCUACUCUACCCAAUUCUGGUUAGUUCAAUUUGACGCGAUUUUGUUUAGUAACAUCUUUGUGGGUAGCUGUAAAUGAAUUCGGUGCUGUUAAAGCGAAAAUGACAUUAUGAAGAACUUAAUUUUGUACUGUUAUUGAAGAACUGCUCUAGUCAUGUUUUUAGCAUACUUUUUGUACUUUGUGUAU